AUACGUAGGUGACAAGCGUUAUCCGGAUUUACUGGGCGUAAAGGGCGUGUAGGCGGUCUUGCAAGUCAGAAGUGAAAUUCCUGAGCUCAACUCGGGCGCUGCUUCUGAAACUGCAGGACUUGAGUGCUGGAGGGGAUAGCGGAAUUCCUAGUGGAGCGGUAAAAUGCGCAGAUAUUAGGAAGAACACCGGUGGCGAAGGCGGCGAUCUGGACAGUAACUGACGCUGAGGCGCGAAAGCGUGGGGAGCAAACAGGAUUAGAUGCCCUGGUAGUCCACGCCGUAAACGAUGAAUACUAGGUGUAGUGGGUAUCGACUCCCUCUGUGCCGCAGUUAACACAAUAAGUAUUCCGCCUGGGGAGUACGGCCGCAAGGUUGAAACUUAAAGGAAUUGACGGGG
rnacentral:rRNA from 1 species